AGUGAACGAGGGCGGGAGGGGGAACACAGACAAGUCGAACGGCAGCACAGUAAGAGCUUGCUCUUACGGGUGGCGAGUGGCGGACGGGUGAGGAAUACAUCGGAAUCUACUUUUUCGUGGGGGAUAACGUAGGGAAACUUACGCUAAUACCGCAUACGACCUACGGGUGAAAGCAGGGGAUCUUCGGACCUUGCGCGAUUGAAUGAGCCGAUGUCGGAUUAGCUAGUUGGCGGGGUAAAGGCCCACCAAGGCGACGAUCCGUAGCUGGUCUGAGAGGAUGAUCAGCCACACUGGAACUGAGACACGGUCCAGACUCCUACGGGAGGCAGCAGUGGGGAAUAUUGGACAAUGGGCGCAAGCCUGAUCCAGCCAUACCGCGUGGGUGAAGAAGGCCUUCGGGUUGUAAAACUCUGUGGUUGGGAAAGAAAAGCAGCAGGUUAAUACCCCGCUGUUCUGACGGUACCCAAAGAAUAAGCACCGGCUACCUUCGUG
rnacentral:rRNA from 1 species